rnacentral:misc_RNA from 1 species
GAUGAAGAACGUAGCGAAAUGCGAUAAGUAAUGUGAAUUGCAGAAUUCAGUGAAUCAUCGAAUCUUUGAACGCACCUUGCGCUCCUUGGUAUUCCGAGGAGCAUGCCUGUUUGAGUGUCAUUAAAUUCUCAACCUCACCAGUUUUCUGAACUGUUCUCCGAGGCUUGGAUGUGGGGGUUUGUGCAGGCUGCCUCAGCGCGGUCUGCUCCCCUGAAAUGCAUUAGCGAGUUCGAUACUGAGCUCCGUCUAUUGGUGUGAUAAUUAUCUACGCCGUGGAUCGGGGCUUAGACUCGCUUCUAACCGUCCGCAAGGACAAUACCUUGACAAUUUGACCUCAAAUCAGGUAGGACUACCCGCUGAACUUAAGCAUUUCAAUAAGCGGAGGA